rnacentral:rRNA from 1 species
UACGUAGGGUGCAAGCGUUGUCCGGAAUUACUGGGCGUAAAGGGCGAGUAGGCGGCCAACUAAGUCCGACGUGAAAUCCCCAGGCUUAACCUGGGAACUGCGUCGGAUACUGGAUGGCUUGAAUUCGGGAGAGGGAUGCGGAAUUCCAGGUGUAGCGGUGAAAUGCGUAGAUAUUCGCAAGAACACCAGUGGCGAAGGCGGCUCACUGGCCCGAUACUGACGCUGAGGCACGAAAGCGUGGGGAGCAAACAGG